rnacentral:rRNA from 1 species
AGUGAACGCUGGCGGUAGGCCUAACACAUGCAAGUCGAACGGCAGCACAGUAAGGGCUUGCUCUUACGGGUGGCGAGUGGCGGACGGGUGAGGAAUACAUCGGAAUCUACUUUUUCGUGGGGGAUAACGUAGGGAAACUUACGCUAAUACCGCAUACGACCUACGGGUGAAAGCAGGGGAUCUUCGGACCUUGCGCGAUUGAAUGAGCCGAUGUCGGAUUAGCUAGUUGGCGGGGUAAAGGCCCACCAAGGCGACGAUCCGUAGCUGGUCUGAGAGGAUGAUCAGCCACACUGGAACUGAGACACGGUCCAGACUCCUACGGGAGGCAGCAGUGGGGAAUAUUGGACAAUGGGCGCAAGCCUGAUCCAGCCAUACCGCGUGGGUGAAGAAGGCCUUCGGGUUGUAAAGCCCUUUUGUUGGGAAAGAAGAGCAGCAGGUUAAUACCCCGCUGUUCUGACGGUACCCAAAGGAUAAGCACCGGCUAACUUCGUG